rnacentral:rRNA from 1 species
UACAGAGGGUGCAAGCGUUGUUCGGAAUUAUUGGGCGUAAAGAGCUCGUAAGCGGUGUGUCGCGUCGGCCGUGAAAACCUGCAGCUUAACUGUGGGCUUGCGGUCGAUACGGGCAUCACUGGAGUUCGGCAGGGGAGACUGGAAUUCCUGGUGUAGCGGUGAAAUGCGCAGAUAUCAGGAGGAACACCGGUGGCGAAGGCGGGUCUCUGGGCCGAUACUGACGCUGAGGAGCGAAAGCGUGGGGAGCGAACAGG